AGUGAACGCUGGCGGUAGGCCUAACACAUGCAAGUCGAACGGCAGCACAGUAAGAGCUUGCUCUUACGGGUGGCGAGUGGCGGACGGGUGAGGAAUACAUCGGAAUCUACUUUUUCGUGGGGGAUAACGUAGGGAAACUUACGCUAAUACCGCAUACGACCUACGGGUGAAAGCGGGGGAUCUUCGGACCUUGCGCGAUUGAAUGAGCCGAUGUCGGAUUAGCUAGUUGGCGGGGUAAAGGCCCACCAAGGCGACGAUCCGUAGCUGGUCUGAGAGGAUGAUCAGCCGCACUGGAACUGAGACACGGUCCAGACUCCUACGGGAGGCAGCAGUGGGGAAUAUUGGACAAUGGGCGCAAGCCUGAUCCAGCCAUACCGCGUGGGUGAAGAAGGCCUUCGGGUUGUAAAGCCCUUUUGUUGGGAAAGAAAAGCAGCAGGUUAAUACCCCGCUGUUCUGACGGUACCCAAAGAAUAAGCACCGGCUAACUUCGUG
rnacentral:rRNA from 1 species